GUCCAGUUCGCAACGGACCAGAUCCAGAGACCUCCAAGUGUCAGGAUCGCGAUCGGCCGAAGUCUCGUCGUCAUGACGAGGAGGCCGAUCGC
rfam:Kaistia sp. SCN 65-12 ABS35_C0372, whole genome shotgun sequence.